rnacentral:rRNA from 1 species
UACGUAGGGGGCAAGCGUUGUCCGGAAUCAUUGGGCGUAAAGCGCGUGUAGGCGGCUCGAUAAGUCCGCUCUGAAAGUCCAGGGCUCAACCCUGGGAUGCGGGUGGAUACUGUCGGGCUCGAGUCCGGAAGAGGCGAGUGGAAUUCCUGGUGUAGCGGUGGAAUGCGCAGACUAUCAGGAGGAACACCAAUGGCGAAGGCAGAUCUCUGGGCCGUAACUGACGCUGAGGAGCGAAAGCAUGGGGAGCGAACAGG